rnacentral:lncRNA from 1 species
GGUUGUCUGUGGCUGGUGGAGGCCGGCUAUGGCUGGUCCUGUAACCUGCAGCUUCGGCUGCUGGCCUGCAGUGGGGACCGGGUGCUCUGCAGUUCCCUCCCUUCUCCAGGAAGAACACGUACUUCAAACUUGCGUGUAUCUAGCUGGAAGGAAGCGGCGCAAGGUGGCCCUAGAAAGCUCUAACGGGGUGGGCAGGGUAGGUAGUGGAGCUAGGGUUCUCCGGCUGCUGGCCCAGCCCGUUCACAGUGUGAACUUAGAGGUGUGUUGUCAACUCUGUGCCUCGACUUUAUCUGUUGUAUGGAAUCACGGUACGGACUUCAUAAGAUCGUGGGAAGGUUUCAGUGACUUGUUGAGAGUACGAGUCAAGUAAACGUUUUUCGUUAUGA